UCUCAAUAAAGGUUUUAAUCGCGUACUAAUCAAUAAGUACAUGUGUGUUUUGUAAACAUGAUCUGGUUAUUAUAAUCCGGCAAGGCUUUAGAUUUUGUGACGGAGGACAUAUAGUACGAUCGUUUUAACACACAUAAAAAUCUGUUCAGACAAAUGGCCACCAGCGUCUCACCCCUGACUUACAGUAGCAACAGUUGUCCUUCACUCAGUGGACAAGGACUGUAAAACUCUGUAAUGCAUUUUAUCACGUGUUGUUUUGUGUAAUACCCCCACUUCCUCCCAUGUGCUGACAGAGAGAGAGGGGAGAGAGAGGACAGAGAUGAGAGAGGCAGGAUAUAGGGAGAGAGGCAGGACAGAGAAGGAGAGAGCAGGACAGAGAGGGGAGAGAGAGGACAGGGGGAGAGAGGACAGAGAGGAGAGAGGCAGGAUAGAGAGGGGAGAGAGAGGACAGAGAGGGGAGAGAGAGGACAGAGAGCGAGGGGAGAGAGAGGACAGAGAGGAGAGAGGCAGGAUAGAGAGGGGAGAGAGAGGACAGAGAGGGAGAGAGGCAGGGAUAGAGAGGGGAGAGAGAGGACAGAGAGGGAGAGAGGCAGGAUAGAGAGGGAGAGAGGCAGGAUAGAGAGGGGAGAGAGAGGAUAGAGAGGGGAGAGAGAGGAUAGAGAGGGGAGAGAGAGGACAGAGAGGGGAGAGAGAGGACAGAGAGAGAGGGGAGAGAGAGGACAGAGAUGAGAGAGGCAGGAUAUAGGGAGAGAGGCAGGACAGAGAAGGAGAGAGCAGGACAGAGAGGGGAGAGAGAGGACAGGGGGAGAGAGGACAGAGAGGAGAGAGGCAGGAUAGAGAGGGGAGAGAGAGGACAGAGAGGGGAGAGAGAGGACAGAGAGCGAGGGGAGAGAGAGGACAGAGAGGAGAGAGGCAGGGGAGAGAGAGGGGAGAGGCAGGAUAGAGAGGGGUGAGAGAACAGAGAGGGGAGAGGCAGGACAGAGAGAGAGAGAGAGGAGUAGAAUGGAGCAGAUCACAGUUGAAUGUUUAAUGACAGUGUGUUAGCUCCUGGAACGCUGCCAGCCCAACUAUGUCUGCCUGCCUGCCUGUGUGUCUACCCACCCGCCUGCAUUUCUGGGGCGGGCCAGGCUGAGUGUAGUCUAACAUGUGACUGGGGGUGUAUUUCAACAGGGUUAUGUAAUCUCCACGGAUGCCGCUCCCUCCCUCCCAGUCCCUCCCAGUCCCGUACAGCUGAGGCUGAGUAGGGCGGUCGGGAGGCAAAUGAUGCAGAAGAGGCGAACAGUAAAUGUAAUGUUCACAUGUGACAGGGGUCAUCCUGCCUGACUGGGAGAGAUUGUUACAUAAGUCUAAAUGGGCGGAUAGCUGGUGGAUAUUACACUAGUUAUUUAUGGGUGGUAGUUCCUUAUGGGUGGCCUUUCCUUAUGGGUGGUAUAGGGUGGUACUUCCUUAUUGUGGUAUAGGGUGGUAGUUCCUUAUGGGUGGUAUAGGGUGGUAGUUCUUUAUUGUGGUAUAGGGUGGUAGUUCCUUAUGGGUGGUACUUCCUUAUGGGUGGUACUUCCUUAUGGGUGGUAUAGGGUGGUACUUCCUUAUGGGUGGUACUUCCUUAUGGGUGGUCCUUCUUGUGGGUGGUAUAGGGUGGUAGUUCCUUAUGGGUGGUAGUUCCUUGUGUGUGGUAUAGGGUGGUAGUUCUUUAUGGGUGGUAGUUCCUUAUGGGUGGUAUGGGUGGUAGUUCCUUAUGGGUGGUUGUUCCUUAUGGGUGGUAUAGGGUGGUACUUCCUUAUGGGUGGUAUAGGGUGGUAGUUCCUUAUUGUGGUAUAGGGUGGUAGUUCCUUAUGGGUGGUAGUUCCUUAUGGGUGGUACUUCCUUAUGGGUGGUCCUUAUGGGUGGUAUAGGGUGGUAGUUCCUUAUGGGUGGUAUAGGGUGGUAGUUCCUUAUGGGUGGUAUGGGUGGUAGUUCCUUAUGGGUGGUAUUGGGUGGUACUUCCUUAUGGUUGGUAUAGGGUGGUACUUCCUUAUGGGUGGUACUUCCUUAUGGGUGGUAUAGGGUGGUAGUUCCUUAUUGUGGUAUAGGGUGGUAGUUCCUUAUGGGUGGUAUAGGGUGGUAGUUCCUUAUGGGUGGUACUUCCUUAUGGGUGGUCCUUCCUUAUGUGUGGUAUAGGGUUGUACUUCCUUAUGGGUGGUCCUUAUGGGUGGUCCUUCCUUGUGGGUGGUAGUUCCUUAUGGGUGGUUGUUCCUUGUGUGUGGUAUAGGGUGGUAUUCUUUAUGGGUGGUAGUUCUUUAUGGGUGGUAUAGGGUGGUUGUUAUUUAUGGGUGGUAGUUCUUUAUGGGUGGUAUAGGGUGGUAGUUCUUUGUGGGUGGUAGUUCCUUAUGUGUGGUAUAGGGUGGUAGUUCUUUAUGGGUGGCAGUUCUUUAUGGGUGGUAUAGGGUGGUUGUUCUUUAUGGGUGGUAGUUCUUUAUGGGUGGUAUAGGGUGGUUGUUCUUUAUGGGUGGUAGUUCUUUAUGGGUGGUAGUUCUUUAUGGGUGGUAUAGGGUGGUUGUUCUUUAUGGGUGGUAGUUCUUUAUGGGUGGUAUAGGGUGGUAGUUCUUUAUGGGUGGUAGUUCCUUAUGUGUGGUAUAGGGUGGUAGUUCUUUAUGGGUGGCAGUUCUUUAUGGGUGGUAUAGGGUGGUAGUUCUUUAUGGGUGGUAUAGGGUGGUAGUUCCUUAUUUAUUUAUUUAUUUAUUUUCACCUUUAUUUAACCAGGUAGGCAAGUUGAGAACAAGUUCUCAUUUCAUCAUUUCUCAUUCUCAUCAAGUUCUCUUAUGGGUGGUAGUUCCUUAUGGGUGGUAGUUCCUUAUGGGUGGUACUUCCUUAUGUGUGGUGUAGUGUGGUACUUCCUUAUGGGUGGUAGUUCCCAAUGGGUGGUAUAGGGUUGCAGUUCAUUAUGGGUGGUAUAUUUGGUGGGUG
rnacentral:lncRNA from 1 species